CCCGCUGAACUUAAGCAUAUCAAUAAGCGGAGGAAAAGAAACCAACAGGGAUUACCCUAGUAACGGCGAGUGAAGCGGUAACAGCUCAAAUUUAAAAUCUGGCCUUCACGGGUCCGAGUUGUAAUUUGUAGAGGACGUUUCGGACAAGGCUGUGGUUUAAGUUUCUUGGAACAGAACGUCACAGAGGGUGAGAAUCCCGUCUAGAACCACCGGCCGCGUCCAUGUGAAACCCCUUCGACGAGUCGAGUUGUUUGGGAAUGCAGCUCAAAAUGGGUGGUAAAUUUCAUCUAAAGCUAAAUAUUGGCCAGAGACCGAUAGCGCACAAGUAGAGUGAUCGAAAGAUGAAAAGUACUUUGAAAAGAGAGUUAAACAGUAUGUGAAAUUGUUGAAAGGGAAGCGCUUGCAACCAGACUUGUGUGUGGCGGCUCCCCCUGUCUUUUGACACGGUUAUUCUGCCACAACCAGGCCAGCGUCGAUUUAGGUGGCCAGUUAAAGGCUCUGGGAAGGUAUCUACCUUCGGGUCGACUUACAGCCCAGGGUGCCAUGUGGCCUACUUGGAUCGAGGAACGCGCUUUUGCCCGGAUGUUGGCGUAAUGGUUGCAAGCGGCCCGUCUUGAAACACGG
rnacentral:rRNA from 1 species